rnacentral:rRNA from 1 species
AUGAAGAGGCAAGGUGCCCAGGCACCUAGAUGUUUGAUACUUCGCUUGAAUAAGAAGAUAUUUCUCAAGCAGAGGAAUACAGUUAUGCUGCGCUCUUCCAUUUUUCAGGCUUUGGUUUUCACUGAUAUCAAGAUAAAGUUGCCUCGCAUGGCAACUUCCUCUGAUCCUAAUUUUCUUAUCCUGAGAUGUAUUUUAGUGUACACUGACCUGCUUUUAUAUACUCCUGCAUAUUUUUUAAUCGCUGCAACUGCUGUCAGUAUUAAAUGUACAAAUGGUACCAACUUUACAGCAAGCUAUGCAGUUAUUGCUGUCAUUUCCCCUCCUAAAAUCAGCAUUAUCCUAUUUGUAGGAGCUCCAGUAAGGUUGCUCGCCAAUGAGCUGGAAGUGUUUUUGUCCUGGGUGCUUGCACGAUUGAGGAAGAGACUGACAAGAUACAAAAGGUUUAGUAAAGGAGGACUCAAGUCUGCAACCACCAUAGAGAUAUGGCCAUGGAAGUAUGGAACAAUAGUGUGUGGAUGUUCUGUGCAAUUUUUCUCUCAUCGAGAAUCUGGUGGACCUCACAAGCUUGUGAUAUCAAUGGGGGUUCUAGCCCUUACCACAAACUUGGUCAAUGCGUUAUCCCCCAAGGCUUCUAUGAAAAAGGGGGGUUGGUCUUGCCCCCCUAAAGGUUUCGUGAAAUUUAAUGUUGAUGCUUCUUUUGACUACGACCUGUUUAAGGGCACAAUGGGGGCGGUCCUGAGAGACGACAGCAGAAGGGCAGUCGGCAGGUGCGGCGGCAGCAAUCUUCGACGAUUGUUUUCACUAUGCCUGUGA